AGAGUUUGAUCCUGGCUCAGGAUGAACGCUAGCGACAGGCUUAACACAUGCAAGUCGAGGGGCAGCGGGGUGUGGCAACACACUGCCGGCGACCGGCGCACGGGUGAGUAACGCGUAUGCAACUUGCCUAUCAGAGGGGGAUAACCCGGCGAAAGUCGGACUAAUACCGCAUAAAACAGGGGUCCCGCAUGGGGAUAUUUGUUAAAGAUUCAUCGCUGAUAGAUAGGCAUGCGUUCCAUUAGGCAGUUGGCGGGGUAACGGCCCACCAAACCGACGAUGGAUAGGGGUUCUGAGAGGAAGGUCCCCCACAUUGGUACUGAGACACGGACCAAACUCCUACGGGAGGCAGCAGUGAGGAAUAUUGGUCAAUGGCCGGGAGGCUGAACCAGCCAAGUCGCGUGGAGGACGAAGGUCCUAUGGAUUGUAAACUUCUUUUGUGCGGGAAUAAAGUCGGGGACGCGUCCCCGUUUGCAUGUACCGCACGAAUAAGCAUCGGCUAACUCCGUGCCAGCAGCCGCGGUAAUACGGAGGAUGCGAGCGUUAUCCGGAUUUAUUGGGUUUAAAGGGUGCGUAGGUCGCCGAUUAAGUCAGCGGUGAAAUCCAGUGGCUCAACCAUUGGACUGCCGUUGAAACUGGCCGGCUUGAGUAUGAUUGAGGCAGGCGGAAUGCGUGGUGUAGCGGUGAAAUGCAUAGAUAUCACGCAGAACCCCGAUUGCGAAGGCAGCUUGCCAAGCCAUGACUGACACUGAAGCACGAAAGCGUGGGUAUCAAACAGGAUUAGAUACCCUGGUAGUCCACGCAGUAAACGAUGAUUACUAGGAGUUUGCGAUACAGUGUAAGCUCCACAGCGAAAGCGUUAAGUAAUCCACCUGGGGAGUACGCCGGCAACGGUGAAACUCAAAGGAAUUGACGGGGGCCCGCACAAGCGGAGGAACAUGUGGUUUAA
rnacentral:rRNA from 1 species